rnacentral:rRNA from 1 species
UACGUAGGGUGCGAGCGUUGUCCGGAAUUACUGGGCGUAAAGAGCUCGUAGGUGGUUUGUCGCGUUGUUCGUGAAAACCGGGGGCUUAACCUCUGGCGUGCGGGCGAUACGGGCAGACUGGAGUACUGCAGGGGAGACUGGAAUUCCUGGUGUAGCGGUGGAAUGCGCAGAUAUCAGGAGGAACACCGGUGGCGAAGGCGGGUCUCUGGGCAGUAACUGACGCUGAGGAGCGAAAGCGUGGGGAGCGAACAGG